CACAUCCGAUCCUUCUACUGUAGCGGCACUUGCCAUCCACGUGACCAGAUCACAUUCCUGUUGUGCCAGUGUCACCGGAAAAAAAAAAACUUGAAAUUUCUCCCUUCGGCACAAAGUUUAGGGUUUUUCACUUUCUUCCUUCCUUCCUUCAUUCUCGUUCCGUUCCGUCACUAUCCAAGUAUGGAAGAAACACCCGAACACGUCUCAUACUGUCCGUUGUCGCUGCCGCCGGAAGACGAAAACAACAGCGGCGCCAAAUUGGCGAAAUCGGUGAACGAACUCAACGACCUCGCCGUUGCAAUACAAGCCUUCAAGAACAGGUAUGACGAAUUGCAGAAACACCUCGAAUUCAUCGAACAAGCCAUCCACACGAGAACCAAGGAGCUCCGAGCAUUAGGCGCCAAUUCUGCGCAAGGAACCGCCGAAAACGGCGUCGUUCAAUUGGAUUCAAAUCCGAAGCCAGAAGUAACCCAGGCGGAAGAGAGAGAAGAAGAAGAAGAAGAAGACGAGCUUCUUACGCUUUGCAAAACGAUGAAUAGCCGGGGCCUGCGUAAAUACGUGUUAACGCGUCUGUCCGAAACGGCGUCGCUUCGGGAACAGGUCCCCCUUGCGCUGAGGAGCGCGCCGAACCCCCCGAGGCUGGUGUUUGAAUGCAUUGGGAGGUUUUUUCUUCAGGGGAGCAAAGCCUACACGAAGGACUCGCCGAUGAUUCCCGCGAGGCAGGUUUCGGUGCUGGUUUUGGAGUACUAUCUGCUCUCUGGCUGCGUUGGGAAUGAGGUGGACUUGGAGGCUUCGCUGAAGAGGGAGGUGGAUUCCGCGGCGGUUGCGUGGAGGAAGAGGAUCUUUGUUGAAGGGGGUUUGCUGAAGGCAGCUGAGGUUGAUGCCAGGGGUUUGAUUCUUUUCAUCGCCAUCUUCGGGAUCCCCACUGUUUUCAAGGAUGAGGAUAUAUACAGCUUGGUUAGUGCUAGCAAUGGUAGAGAAUUUUCCGAUGCCCUGCUCAAGUCUCAGCCCCUGCUUAAGAGGGUUUCUGAUGUUGCAGAUGGGAUGAUAAAAAAAGGCAUGGCCGUUAAAGCUGUUGAUUUGGCUUACACUUUUGGCUUUGAAGAGAAAUAUUCUCCUCGGACAGCUCUGACUUCAUUUCUGCAGAAGUCUGAAGAAACUUGGAAGAAAGCCAAACAAGACGCACGCGAUUUUCCUAGUGCGCUGAAGGUAGCACAUGAAAAAUAUUUAGCUGCUUUGAAAUCUGUAGUCAACUGUUUGGAAGGUCACAAGAUUGACUUUGUAAAACUUCUUCCUGGGUGGCAACUUAAGAAUAAGAUUACGAACUUGGAGAAAGAUAUUGGUGAUGCCAAUAAAAAAAUUGAAGAGAAGUCAAUGCUCAAGAGAAAAGUGGAUAAAAACAAUUCUUCUAACAAGAUGAAGAUUCCAGAGGCUAAACGAACAAGGUUCACUGGGAAAGAUGCAUCUGUGCUAUCACCUUCCCUCGCUAUCUUGCAAGAGCAAAGGAUUGUUAGUCACAUGGAUGGCAAUAGCUCAUAUGAUGGUUCAUUGUCGGCACUUUUACUGGAUGGUAGAUCCUAUGGCAAUUACCCGAAUAAUUAUCUUGCUGCCACAUCCAUUUCAGAUUCUUUGGCCGAAAAAUAUCUUGGAAGUACAGUGGCAAGUGGGGCUAAUAUGCUUGGAGGAGCUAUGGGUGGUUCAUAUUCUGGGUAUCAGGGGGAUAUGAUAAGAGACAAUGUUGGGACAGUGCUAAAUAGCAACAGUCAUCUGUAUAGAUAUCAUGGUAUUGGGGAAGGGGCAUUAUCUCAUGAUAGGCCAGUUGGGCAGAGUUUUGUGGGACAAUCUGCAUCAACAUUGAAUAAUUUGUAUGGGAAAACAUCCACAGAAGGUUUUGCUGGUGUGCCAGAGCAUCUCUCUAUUGGUGCUUCUAGUCGCAGUGGAGGUUCUGAUUUGUAUGGCUUUGCUGAUGCUGUUUUUGAUGCAUAGUCAUACCAGGGCAGCAGUUCUCCAAAUUACUGUGGUUUUGAUCAGCUGGGAAGCAUGUGUUUUGAUCAUCCUCAACAAAUUUUUACCUGCCCAUGGAAAUACAGAAUUACGUCAGGAGGACCAAUGGUUGGUGCUACGCUGUGCCAUUACAGGAAUUGAGGUUGCGGUGGUGGUAGCCAGCAAUAUCUGUUGCGAGGCGACGGUAGAUGUAGUCAGCGGUAGCUGUUGCAUGUUAAAGUUGACAAUUCCGGCGACAAUGAGAUGGAUUGUAUAUGCAAAUAUUAAGCUUGGAGUCACCGAUAGCUCCAUCAGAAAGCUUGUCCUUUACCCUAUCGUGGUUGUUGCUGUCGUUGUCGCUCCUCCUUUACCCUCACUCCAGCUCUGGCAACAACACCAGUUUCAACGUCACCUCAUUGUUGAUUUGAUCAACGACUACUGGCCAACCUCUCGCUAUUCAUGAUGCACAGAGAUUCAGUGACUCAUGGAGGCAUAUAUGUGGAUACACUGUUGUGUUCAAUGGAUUGACUGGACUUUCUAUGGUCGUUUCUUUACUUUCUUUGCCUGAGCAGUCCCAUUUAUACUCAUUCAAUUUUAUUUAUUGGACGCUAAACCUGAAAACUGAGGUAGAAAAACCAAGUUGGACAUAGCUUCAACUUGGUAAACGUAGGAUUUUGGCUUUCGUAGUUCAUUUUUUUUAUUCAUGUUCGUUUGAUACAUAAUUGCAGCUAUGCUUAUUAGUUAAAAAUUUCUAUUAAAAAAAAGUGUUGGGUGAAUUA